CGUCUUUUGUAGGAACUUCAGUUUUCUCGAUCGUUCCAAUCGUAUAGCACGUGUGUAUUGUCCUUUUCACUUUCAGUUAAUUCUACAGCCGAUAUAAUAUUGAAAUAUUUAACAAUGAAGUUGUGUCUGAAAGAUAUAUAUAAAUAUUUACAUAAUCUUUCAACAUCUAUUGUUUUCGUGACGAUUUCUAAAUUCAUAGAUUAAUAAAUUAAAACAAUAAUGUUCAUUCAUUUUUUUAUGAAUUUACAAUUUUAGCACCAGUAAACAAGCUGUUAGUGUCUCAUUAUUGACAUGGAGCGCCGUCACAGUUUAUCGGUGAACUUACCUAAAGAAUAUUCUAAAGUUAUCCAAAGAUUCACUUUUUGUAAUAAAAUUUGUUUGAUGAGUUAUCAUCAUAAGUUUUAAAAUAACAAAAAAUGAAUUAUAAGUAGAUUAUUUUUAUAAAUAACAUUAAAAAAAAGGUUGUUACAUAUUUUUGUUUAAAUAUCAACAAUCCAAGUAUUAAUGAUUUUGCAGUGAACAUAGUCAUCAAGUAAAAGAUGGAUUAAAAAUAGUUACGAUGAUAGAAAAAACAUGACAAGUAAAGAAAAUCAAAUGACAAAUAAACCAGAAUUUAAGCAACAGCAGACACAACAAAUAAAAAAUAGUACUCAAAAACGAAGAGCUAGUGUUGCUGUUUUGUCAUCGUUAGAAGCAUUAGAAAUGCAUCAGAGAACUAUAUCACCUGAUGAACCACUUUUAGAAAAUAUUCUACACAAACGUAACCCUAGGCCCAGUUUUGUAUCAGAAACAAAAGUACAAUACAUUGAUCGAAGUCCGAUAAAUAGUCCUGUACCAGAUGCAUUAAAAAGCCCACGCUCUAGUUUGGUACCAUCAGAUCAUCGUAAGUCACCACGAUUUUUGCCUGAUGAUCAAAAAGAUAUUGGUAUGCGAUCUAAUUUAUCUAGGCUUGAAGUUAAUGAUAAUCGAAAUCCAAGACAUAGUCUCACAUCCGAAUGUUUGGAUCCGAGGAGUUCAAGAAGCUCUCGUUGUAGUUUACUAAUAGAUGACGAAUAUUCAGAUAUGCGAUCAGGAUUACGAUUAGACAUUGAAAAUUUUAAUCGCAGUCCACGGUCCAGUAACGUCGGACUAGAAAUAUCAAGAAGUCCAAAAAACAGUCUGGUUCCAGAUAUAUGUCGAUCACCUAGAGGUAGCAUAGCUUAUGACUUGAAUCGAAGCCCUAGAGGUAGUUUAACGGUGACACCCGAAAUAAGUCGUAGUCCAAGAGGUAGUUUGAUACCAGAUCCUGGAAGAAGUCCGAGAGGAAGCGUUGCUUCUGAAGGAGCAUACAAUAUGAGCAGAAUUUGCAGAGGAAGUAUACCAAUGGCUGAAUCAGUUUCUUUAGGUAGGACACCUAGAGGAAGUAUUGGAUCAGGUUCAUGUGUACAUUUUGAUCCACAUUUAAAAUUGAUAAAAGCUUCAAACGAAUCUCCUAGUGACUCUGCAAGAACAACACGAUUAGAAUCACCAAAAAAGUCAAAUACCGAUAAGAACUCUCAGUGUAUUCAAAAAUAUAUAUGCCUUGAGGAUUCUAGAAGGGCUAGUAGUAGUGUUAGCCAAGUUUCCAGUGAUGAGAGGAAACGCUUAUGUGACCACAUUGCGCCUUGCGACAAUGGACUAACUCUCUACGGUUCUUUAACAUUUCAACUUAAUCAUGCUAAUAUGGAAUCCAGAGAUAUUUUUGAUUUUAUUAUCAAAGCAUUAAAUAUUAUUUAUAGAACAGUUAUUGUUACAAUUAUAAUGUCAAUUUUAACCAUCAUUCCAUUGAUCAUGUUUAUCGUUGGUGUUCAAUUUGUACGUGAUUGUCCUUGUGAACCGCAUAUACCUAUUUAUAUGAUUGUUGGUGGUAUAUUUGGAUUGAUUAAAAUGGUUUGGUUGCUGUGUCGCCAAGUAGAAUCAUUAAAGUAUGAUCGGUGUCAGCGACCAAAUUUCGAAUCUGGAGAAGAUGUAGUGUCCUCUAUAGGUUCUCGCAUCGCGUCGGUGGCCUUAUCUGUAUUUUUAACUGGUUGGUUUAUUUUAGGAAACUAUUGGAUUUUUUCUGUAUAUUGGCCUGAUUCAGAACCUUUGUCAUUAUAUGAACCUAAUGGUUGGUGUAAUCGAACUCUAUAUAUAAUAAGUUUAGUUCAAAUAACUUCAGUUUAUUUGUUUGGUACUGUAAUCCUUGGUACUAUAAUUGCUGUAGUUAUAUUUCAGCGAUGUACUUUACGGAAUAAAUAACAUUCGAAAAUAAAGUAUCCAUGUAUAAUUUAUGGAAAACUGAAAGCAAAUGACUAAUAUAGAUAUUUUGUCAUACAGUGCUCUUCAAAUAAAUCUUACUCAUUUUGAAAUUAGUGACUAUAAAUACGGUAAACGUUAAAAAUUUAAGUCCAUUAUUGAGUUUUUAAAAUAGAAUUUGUUUAUUCGACCAUAAGUUAUAAUAAAUGACACCAAUGAGAGUUUUAAAGUGGAAAAAAUACAAUUUUCUAAUAAUGAAUCCAUAAUAAAAUAAGUCGGAAUACAACAUUUUAUGAAUAUAAGAAUACUUUUUAAAAUAAAAAUGUAGUAUAUUAUUACUCUGGAAAAUUAGCAAAGUUCUGCAAUUUUUUUAAUUGUAUUUUAAAAUAAUGUUAUUGAUAAAAUAAUAUUCCAAUAUAUUGUAUUAAUAUUAUUUUAUUUAUUAAUUCGAUUUUAAUUUUCUGUAAUUUAAAAAUGUUUGAUAAUUGAAAAACAAUGAAAUUAUUUUUUAAACAAUUUUGAUGAAAUAUAAUAAUUCUUUAAAACAUUCAGUCAAAUUAGAUUAGAAUUGGAUUAAAUUGGAUUAGAAACUAUUUUAAAACCCCCUCAAUCUUCAAACUGAUAUAUUAACCAGCUGUGUACUAACUAAAAAUCGAAACAUUUUUUGUAAUGGAAGUGAUUCUAUAAAGGGGUUGUACUUUGUGAGUGUGUGUGCGUAUUUGACGUCUGUAUAAUAUCUAUUAUGUGUCUGAAAAUAAUCGUUCGUAUUUUACGUCAUUAUUUAUAUUUGUUCGUUUACGAUUGAAUGAAGGGUAUACUUGUUGCAAAUCUGUGGAAAAGGCUUACUUAUAGUUUAGUUAUUCAAUGUUUAUCAUUAACGUUUUCUCUGAAAAACUAAGCGUAAGAAAGAAUUGAAAAACGUACGCCCAGAGCAACGGAAUCAAAACACAAUAUAUACACACCGAGGCAUGGCGGCGCAUUCCUGACUGGGCUAAGUGAGCUACCUAAUUAUCUAUAGUCAUUUAUAAUUUGUUUCAUUUCUGAAUUACUUUAUUUUUUUUUUCAACAAUCGUUGGUGGCUAAGGGAAAAGCCAAACAAAGAUAAUCCUUACUUGAGUUUUCAAUUCAAUGUUAAAUACAUAAAAUGGAACAGGGGUUGUAUGAAACCAGCAAAACAUUUUCUGUUGACAAGUUUAUAUGAAUUUGGUUAUUCUAUAAUUUAAUUUUUCAUUGCAGCAGAAAAGUAGUUGUACCCAUAAAAGUUAGUUAAAAUUAUGCUGAAUUUAAUUUUUAAUUAAUUUUAACACAUUGUUUCUAAAAUAAAUUUAUCUUAACGUAUAUAAUAAAUGUAUUAAAUAAAUUAUGAUUGUAUGUUUAGAACCUAUACAACAAGAGUUAUUAAUACACAACUUAAGUAUCAUUUUCCAUUUAAAUGACUCAAUUCAUAAAUAAGUAAAAUAGAGGACCAAUAAAUGAAUUAAUUUCCCAAAAUUACUUUAAAAAUUAUAAGCAUCAAUAUUUAAUUCAGGGAGUAGAUUUAUAAUAUAAAUUAAUGCUAUAAAUAUAGUGAUAUUUUUUAUAAAUAGAAUUAUGUUAGGUAAUAACAUUUUAACCAUGAUUAUUUAUAAAUAUAUUUAAUAAUUUCUUUUUUAGUUAUCAGGGUAUUUUAAAGUAACUUAUAAUAUUAUUAUAAAAUUUAUAAUAAUAUUUGCUAACAAUUUAAUAUUAUUAUACAUUUUUUAUGAAUCGUAGUUAAUCGUAAUACAUAGUCAAAAAAGGGUUUAUAAAUAGGUUGUUUACUAUCCAUAUAUAUAUAUUGGAGGAAAGAGUAAUAUAUAAAACUUUAAAUAAAAAAUUUUCUUUAAUUUAUGCUAUGUAGUUUCUGGAAAAUUAAAAAUGUUUGUUAUUUUAUUUAAUAGUUUUGAAGCACUAUGAAGCAUUAAAAAAAAGUAAAGACAUAAAAUAAAAUAAUUUACUUGCCUAUCACUUUACGUCGAUGUUGUACAAAUAAUAUUUAUUUCAUUUAAAACAAAAUUUUGAAUGAAUACUAUAGGUUUUAGAGGAACAAAUUUUACUAUCAUUAUAUAACAGAGACUUCACAGAAAAUUUUUUAAGGGGUACAAAAAUCAUUGACAGUAAUUUAAGCAAUCGACUGUUUUUACCACUGUGUGUGCUAUAGAGGCGUAAUCCCUUCCCCGAAAUUUGUAUGACAACAAAAUUUUUUACUAAAAAUGGUACAUUUAUGGUAUAUUAUACUCAUGAUUACAAGCAAGAAAAAAAGUAAUGUAAAUAUACAUAUUAUAAAAUUUUAUUUGAACUUAAUACAUUGUCUAACCCUCCAAUUAAAAAAAUAGUACACACGUGCCAGCUACACCCUUAAUUACGAUUUAUUAUGAAUUACCUAACUUUUACAUAAUAUCUUCUUUAAUAGAACAUUAAUUAUUUUAUUAUUAAUAUUAUUAACUAUUUGGAAUACCUAAGUGUAAAAAUAAACAAACAAUACAAUUUUCUUUCCUUAUCCAUAGACUUGAUAAAGCCGACCUGUUUCUUCUAAAUAAUGCUUUUAUUUUUUUAAUUUCUAUAAGAAACAGUUGCCGCAGAAUCUAUUUUAUGUUGACAAAGACUCAAAUACAAAUAAUCAGAUUUGAUGUCUAGAAUUAUAUUUUAUGCGUUAGUAUUUAUUAGUGACACAAUAAACUACAGGGAAUGCAAUGAAUCCUCCUGUCCCCUCCCGACAUCACUGUUAAAUAACUUCUCGUGUUUAAAAAUGAAAAAUUAUUAUUUUCUUCUUUCUUAUUUAUUUUUAAAAGAUAAUAUGGAACAACUUAUGUUUAUUAUCUGAAAUACAAAAUAAAAAUUGGAUACGAUUAUUUUGAUUUUUUUUUUAUUCAUAUAAAAUUUUUCUAACACAAUUCAUCAAAAUGCAUGGAUGAUCAUUUUUACAGGUAUAACAAAAUUUAUCAUAAAUCAUAGAAUAUUAACUAUUAUUAACUGAUGUACAUCAGCUAAUAGUUGUAUUAUAAUCUUUAGUUGUAAUAUCAAUUCUUAAUUAAUUAAUCUUUUUUAUAUUUAGGCAUGAGUUUUUCCUCUUUUUAGUAUUUGAAAUAAAAACCAAGAUAGCAUUUAAUUGUACAAAAAAAAUGUUUAUACAAGUUUUACUUUAGAAUUUAAUUUAUUUUAAUGAAAAUACUUACACUCUGUAUUAUAAUGUUAGAGCACGGGAUAUGAUAAAUACAAAAGAUAAAAAGAGGUUUUCAUAAUUAUAUUCUACAAAAAUAUGUUAAAUAUUUAAAUUAGAAUAAAUAUUCUUUUGACAAAUAUAUUUUAUUUCAUACGAGUUAAACAUUUUAACAAAAAUAUUUAAAAUAAAAUAUGUUUCCAAUAUUUAAAAAUCAUUUGGUUUGCGACAUAUUGGACUAGCAAUAUUGUAUUAUAUUUUAAAGAUUUUAAAAACAUUUUUUUGUUACUUGGGUAAUAUAAAUAAAUAAGGAAAUCAAAAUAAAAUAAAAGUUUUAAAUCCCCUAAUAAUUUUUGAGUUAUUUAAAAUUUAUAAUAAUAAAUGAUUAUUUCAGGCUAAAAUCAUUUAAAAUAAAAAAUAUUAAUUUAAAACUAAAAAUUAUGUGUGUGUGUUUAGCGCUAAUGAUGAUAAAAUGGUUCCUAGAAUACUUAUACAAGAUUUUUGUCGAAAUUUUGUAGUUAAUUAUUUUUAAUAUAUUUUUCAUUUUAAAUUUAAAAAAAAUAAAUAUUUUUUGGUAAGCGAGAUUUGGUAUACCAAAAAAUGUAUAGCCUCUUUUUAUAAUUUUUUUAUAUUCAAGUAAUAUAUGUUUAUUUAAAAGACACAGAAAAAAUGAAACAAGAGUUCUUCGUAUUUAUGUUUUUUAUGAUGUGUAAGAUUCAUUAUCACUCAAUUAUUAUUCAUGAUUCUAUAAAUAAAUUACUUAUAAAAAUAUAUUUACUUUAGUUAACUUAAUAUAGUUUAGUCUAUUAAAGUUUAUUAGUAUUAUUCAUUACUCUGUAAUACAUUUGAAAAAUAUAGUGAGAAAUGCAAGACAUUUUUUGUUUAAUUAUUCAUAUUCGUCUAAUUUUUAACAUAAUUUUUAUAUAAAUAAAUUACAGUACAAUUAAAAAUGGGAAUAUUCAUAUAAAUUAGUUAAUGGAAGAAUAUUACGUACAUUGAGGUAAAUCGUAAUAAUUCGUACAUCUAUUCACAGCUGAAGGUUUUAUUCUUUGAUUUGUAGUCUUUAAAAAUGACUAAAACAUACUAUAUGCUUUAAACUUUUACUCCUCCGAAUAUUUAAAUUUUACUGAAUUUCAAUAAAUGAGAACUGAAGAAAAUGUGAUACAUAAAUAAUUCAAAUAUUUAUAUUUGAUUAUUUGAUUAUCUGGAUUUGACAGAAAUGUAUGUAAAAACUACGUCUUUUCUCAUAUCACUUUAAUUCUCAACUUUAUUAUCGGUAAUACAACGUUAUUUUCAUUUUUAUUAAACUUUAAUAAAACAAAACACAAAACAAAAAAAAAAAUUACUUUAUGUUAUAAAGGCAAGUAUUUUCAAUCUAUAAGUCGAUGUUUUAAACAGUCAUUUUCUUUAACAAUAAUGUUUAUACAAAAAUAACAAUAGUUCUAUUAUGACUAAGUAAAAUUCAUUUUUGUGUAACUUUUGAGUGGCUCGUGAAAAAUUAUAAUACAGACUCUUCAAUUGAGCAAGAUUUUUAAUUCAUAAUAAAUACUCCGGAAUGGAAGGUUAGGCCGUUACCACAGUGAAAAAUAAUUCAUUUCGAUGAAUUAAAAUGUCCAUUAUUUUGUCCAAAAUUAAAAAUCCAUUAUUAUUCAGGUUGAUUUCUCGUUCAGCAAAGGAAAGCUGACGUGAAAAUGUGCGUUAGGUACUGUAGCGUUACAACUUGGUCAUUCCGUCCUUCUUAAGUUAAAUAAAAAUUAGUUAAUUAUUUUUAAGUAUAUCAACUGAAAACCAAUAAAUAUAAUCUAAAUAUAGUAUAACACAUUUAACCUUUUUUUUUUUAGGAAUAAUAGAAGUUAUACUCUUAAUUUUAAAAUUCAAAUUUAUUUUUCCUUUUUUAUUUUUAUGUAUAUUUUUAUUUGACAGAUGUGAACAUUUUUAUAAAUCUUAUUUCUAAUAUAACAUUAUAGAUAAUAAAGUAAAAAAUAUCUUUAAGUAAAACACCAAACUAUAUUUAUAUUAAUUUUAUAAAACUUAUUGAGCAAAUAGAAUAUUUUAAUAAUUCUUAUAUGUACAUUAUAUAUAUUUGUAUGAUAUUAAUCAAUAAUAGAGUUUAUAAUAAUUGCGUGUGAUUGUGCGUUAAAAUAUAAUUUAAUAAUGAUUUAAAAAUAUGUUAUAGUUAUAUCACUGUUUUUAUGUGUGUAAAAUGUAAGUCAAAUUAAUAUACCUGGAGUAUGAUUUACAUUAGUGAUAUUGUUUUGUAUUUUUUAACUUGCCUAUUUUCACUUCCUUUUCAACGCAAGGCAAUCAAGAACAUGAAAUGUCAAUUUUAUUUACUAUCGAGUUAUUAGAAGUGAAGUCGAAACGUGAUAAUGAGGGUGUAAAAUACAAACUUAAAAUCAAAUAAGUAAUCGCAAUGGAUUAAAAUGGUACUCCCGAGACGACAAUAUAACAUUUUUCUGUAGUAUAAUAUAAACUCCCGUGAUGAAAAUCUACAGCGGUUAAACAAUAACUCUAUAGAGUACAAUAUAUUGUGCAAAUGGAAAACUUCAAAUAAAGAAAAAAUUAAAAACAAAGACAAAUGUAUAAAACCCUAGUAUAAUAUACGUUUAUACAUUAAAAAAUAAGUAAUCAUAUAAAAAUAAAUAUGGAUCAAGUAAGGAAAUGUCAUUUUUUUAAUUAUUUCGCAAAGAUAAGCUUAUAUGUAUGUCAUCCAAUAAUUUGUAAAUUAAAUAAUUCAAAUUUAAAAUAAAAUUGCAAUAUGAUUUUUGAUUAAUAUAAUGUUCUGACAAUUUACAGGCGUUAUUAUUGGUAAUUCUUCUUGUUAAAAAACAUAACAAUGCAUCUCAGUGUAUUGAUGACAAUAGGAAAUUUUAAUAAGACUGUUAUUUAUGUGUCGUCUGGAUAUAAUACAAUAUUUUCAAUUGGUGAUCAGCAAAGAUUUGACAAGAUUUGUAACAGCCAGUGGCUAUUUACAUUUGUGGUAUCCAUUAUUUAAUGCCCAUGCAGCCAUGUUACCAAAAGCUGUUUAAACCGGAUUUAAUUGUACUGUGCUACUGUAUACGUUUAAAAAGGAACGCCCCUUCUUAACUGGUUUAUUAAUUGAAAAGACCCUUCUAAAUAACACUUACUUUUUAUGAUACAACUACAAAUGUGAUAUUAAUUUUUCAAACAUCAAAAAUGGCAUUAUUUCAUAUAAGUGA